CCCAAGUGUAUUUCUGUCUCCCUCUCCCUGUGCUACCACUACCACAGAUCAGUCUUAAAGCCAUGUUUAUUUCAAAAUAAAUCUAAUCCAUAUGUUUGUCUCGUUUAGGCUUGAGUCAAAAGUGUUUUUAGUGUUAAUUUAUAAGCAAGAGAAGCCCCUUACCAUGAGAGCAAAGAGGACUGAAUCUACUUUUGAUGGAAUAUUGGGGAGCAGUGACAGUUCAACUGUUAAAUCCAGAAGCCAAGACAGAACCAAUUUGUUCCAGUGCUCCAGGACCUCAAAAGAGCUAUACCAAUGAGCAGAAGCACCGGGGACUCUUUCAGAGGCCAUAUAAUAUACAAGGUUGGACAAUUAAGUUUGUGAACUUUCCACCAUGUAAACACAAAUCUUCAAAGUAUAUAUCUUCAAAGCACAAAUGUGUCCAUACAAUAAAAAAAG